UUAAGCCAUGCAUGUCUAAGUAUAAACGAUUUAAUCGUGAAACCGCGAAUGGCUCAUUAUAACAGCUAUAAUUUACUUGAUCUUGACACAAUCCUACUUGGAUAACUGUGGUAAUUCUAGAGCUAAUACAUGCAUUAAAGCUCUGACCUCACGGGAAGAGUGCAUUUAUUAGAACAAAACCAAGCGGCUUCGGCUGUUUCUGGUUGACUCAUAGUAACUGAGCUGAUCGCAUGGUCUUGCACCGGCGACGUGUCUUUCAAGUAUCUGCCGUAUCAACUUUCGAUGGUAGUGUAUCUGACUACCAUGGUGAUCACGCGUAACGGAGAAUAAGGGUUCGGCUCCGGAGAGUUCGCCUGAGAAAUCGCGAACACAUCUAAGGAAGGCAGCAGGCGCGAAAAUUACCCACUCUCAGCACGAGGAGGUAGUGACGAAAAAUAACGAGACCGUUCUCUUAUGAGGCCGGUCAUCGGAAUGGGUACAAUUUAAACCCUUAACGAGU
rnacentral:rRNA from 1 species